AGGAGGCAGCAGCCAGUCCGCGAGAAGA
rnacentral:sRNA from 1 species